rnacentral:rRNA from 1 species
CACAUCAGCUCGAGUGAGGAUACGCGCUAAACUUAAACAUAUCAGUCGGCGCACGUAACAAUAGAAACUAACCAGGUUCCCUUAGUAACGGCGAGUGAAGCGGGAAGUAAUGCAUACGAUCACGUAAGAUUCGUCUCGCGUGUUUCGUAGCUAAGCCCAUCGAUAGAAUCCGUUCUUCAGUGCCUCGGCCCAGGGGAGGAAUUGUAGCAUCGAAAUUUAAAACAAAUCAUGUUGUACUGUCUAUUACUUACAAUUGACUAUACUACUAACCUCUGGUAACUAUCUCUCUCACAAUUUACACUUACAUUAAACACAGUGAGCGCGCGCCGAAGUUGUCGUACGUACAAUACGUGAGCAAGCAUUCAUGUCUUAUACAUACAAUCAAAGACACAGCGUUUAGCGCUGGAAAGCAAUUCGUAGUUUUACUGCAGCCAUAGAGUGUGACAGCCACGUUUUAAUGGUUAUGCAUGAAUACNCUGCCGCGUAAACUUUGUACACGCAUACGUAUACGUCAUUCAAUAGCACAGUAGUUUUGUAAUUCGUGAUUGUUGAUACCUGAGUCGAGUUGUUUGGGACUACAGCUCAAAUUGUUUGGUGGUGGUAAUGACACAUCAAAGGCUAAAUAAUGGUGUUUAAUCACAACAUGCAAUGGAAACCGAUAGCAAACAAGUACCGUAAGGAACGAUGAAAAGCACCCUUCAUAGCACGCAUGCUACGGCAAUGUGAUUUAUAUUUACGCAUUACAGCAUGCAAGCUCCAAAGGGAGUGAAAGAGAGAGUGAAAUCGCCUUACAGCGAAACAACAAUACUAACUUUGUAUAACACAGAUUAACAGCACGUCGCGCAUCGUAUUGAUCUUAACUGUAUCAUACAGAUUCACGCGUCGUGCGCAAUACACAUUUAAUCUAUAUUUCAGCGAAGUACAAUCGGACAGAGCGCUUUUGCUUCAAUUCUUUGAAGGUAGCGGGCUAUUAUGCAACGUAUACUGCAUGUAUGCCACGCUAUUUGUCUUCUGACAAAACGAGGCGCAACUAUCCAACCCGUCUUGAAACACGGACCAAGGAGUUCAACUGGAUUGCGAGUCGUAGAGUUAUACACAAUAAACUCAUUGCGGCGAAGCGAAAGCAAAAUUGUGCCAACUCAUUUAAACCAGAGUGCAGCACGGGCUGAUUGUGGACAUGCGCGUGAACUCGUACGUAUGCUUUGAUCUGUCAUUCGUGACUAAUGUCAAAGAUCAAUCAAGCCAGAGAGCAUAUUAGUUGAGACCCGAAAGAUGGUGAACUAUGCUCGGACAUGGUGAAGCCAGGUGAAAACUUGGUGGAAGCUUGCGUUGUGCGGAACUGACGUGCAAAUCGUUGCCGCCUGACCUGAGUAUAGGGGCGAAAGACUCAUCGAACCAUCUAGUAGCUGGUUCUCUCCGAAGUUUCUCUCAGGAUAGCUCGAAUUAAUCAAUAUCAGUAAAGAGUAACACAAGGUAAAGCAAUGAGACGCGGUAUCUGUGGGUCUUAUUUAAAUGACCUCGGCCUUCUCUCAAACUUUAAAUCUGUGCGACAACUGUCUGCCUUCUUUAAAGCGCUGUAUUGCAUUUGUGAUGCGCGCGCGAGGUGACGUUUUGUAUCUAUAAUUCGUAGUGGGCCUAUUUCUGGUAAGCAGAGCUGGCGAUGAGGGAUUCAACCUGACGUUCUCAAGAUAAGCCGGGCUUAAUCAUAUCUGCUCCAACCUUCCGAUAAACGCGAAAGGGUGUUCCGUGUGGUGCAGACAGCAGGACGGUGGCCAUGGAAGUUGGAAUCUGCUAAGGAGUGCGUAAC